GUGUCAGCAGCCGCGGUAAGACGUAGGGCGCAAGCGUUGUCCGGAAUUAUUGGGCGUAAAGAGCUCGUAGGCGGCUUGUUGCGUCGACUGUGAAAACCCGUGGCUCAACCAUGUGGUCUGCAGUCGAUACGGGCAGGCUAGAAUUCGGUAGGGGAGACUGGAAUUCCUGGUGUAGCGGUGAAAUGCGCAGAUAUCAGGAGGAACACCGAUGGCGAAGGCAGGUCUCUGGGCCGAUAUUGACGCUGAGGAGCGAAAGCGUGGGGAGCGAACAGGAUUAGAAACCCCAGUAGUCC
rnacentral:rRNA from 1 species